rnacentral:rRNA from 1 species
CCUACGGGCUGCAGCAGUGAGGAAUAUUGGUCAAUGGACGAGAGUCUGAACCAGCCAAGUAGCGUGAAGGAUGACUGCCCUAUGGGUUGUAAACUUCUUUUAUAUGGGAAUAAAAUGUUCCCCGUGUGGGAUUUUGUAUGUACCAUAUGAAUAAGGAUCGGCUAACUCCGUGCCAGCAGCCGCGGUAAUACGGAGGAUCCGAGCGUUAUCCGGAUUUAUUGGGUUUAAAGGGAGCGUAGGUGGAUUGUUAAGUCAGUUGUGAAAGUUUGCGGCUCAACCGUAAAAUUGCAGUUGAGACUGGCAGUCUUGAGUACAGUAGAGGUGGGCGGAAUUCGUGGUGUAGCGGUGAAAUGCUUAGAUAUCACGAAGAACUCCGAUUGCGAAGGCAGUUCACUGGACUGCAACUGACACUGAGGCUCGAAAGUGUGGGUAUCAAACAGGAUUAGAUACCCUUGUAGUC